UUUAACUACGCUGAAAAAAGUACUUUCCAACUAUAUUAAAUAAUUAUUCUCAUCUCCUAAUGAUAAAAACAUUAAAAACUAAAUAUGAAGCUGGUAAAAACCUUUUACAGUAUGUUACAACUUUACUGGAUAAAGUUAGGACAAAGAUUGUUGAUUCUGGUAUUCCAAAGUCUUUAUUGGAUGAGGCCUUAAAGUGUUGUAUGAACUAAGUCGGACUCCAAAUAGGGCGAUAGUUAGAGUAGUGGCACCCUCUACAAUUUGGCAUGGGUGAAAAUCUAAGCAAGCUUCAGCCUGGUAUAUUACUCUACCAAAGAAUAAUAGGUUAGAUGCUAAAUCAAAAACCAAAAAAAUAACAAUCAAAUCUUUAUGCCUAUAUGUGGCAAUUUAGAGAAUAUCACCAACAAAUGUAAAAUCAUGUUUAAUCCCCAUUUCUCAAAUUGGAAUCCUUUCAUACAGAGGCUUGAGAGAAAAAUGACAACACUGUAUAAUCAAACUAAUGUCUAGGCCGCUAGCUUGCUUUUUCCAGAGCACUAGUUAAAUCUUCUAGUUCUACAGGAAUAUUCUAAAAUAACAUUAACAUAAUUGAAAUUUAUUAAUACCUAUAUACUCGAUACUAAUAAUUUAUCUACCUUGAAGCAGAUCUAUUCUAUAAAUUCCCUCAAGUUCCUUUCUCUCUCAGACAUGCUUGCAACUCUUAAUAUUUCCGCCUUGUGGUUGGUCCUCCAAGUGUUUAUGAUUGUGUUGUCCCUUCCUGAUGCUUAACAUUUUGUUUCUGUACAUUUAAGAUAUUAUUUUCCAAUAACUGAAAAUUAAGAUACAGAAGAAAUUGCACAACAUUUAAAAAAAAAGCAAUUUGGCAAGAGAAGGAAAUUUACUUUGACAAUUAGACUGCCACAUUUUCGAAGUUAUUUAUAUUAUUGGAAAAGUAUCUGAUGAAAAUUACAAUGGAUACCACCUGGAAAUGCCAAUGUAUCAAAAUUUAUAAAAGAAAAGCACCAGAAGAAAAUACUAAAAAGAUAAAUAAGUUGGUCAGCAAAAGUUGUGCUUGUAGAAGAGAUUUUCAUGAAAAGAUAUUAAAAGGGAUUAGUGAAGUUCAACCACACACUAGUUCCAAGUGCAAAUGUAAGAUACAUUUUAAUAGGAGAAUGGUUAAAGAAAAGACUGGUAAACAGAUUAUCAAUUUGAAGUGCAAAUGUCUUAAAAUUUUUAAAGGAAACAUACCAGAGAAACAUAUAAAAAAGAAAAGUAAGUUUGUCAGCAAAAGUUGUACUUGUAGAAGAGAUGUUCAUGAAAAGAGAUUUGGAGGGAUUAGUGAAGUUCAACCACACACUAGUCACAAGGGCAAAUGUAAGAUAAAUUUUAAUUGGAGAAUGGUUAAAGAAAAUACUGGGAAAGAUAAGUUUGUCGGCAGAAAGUGUGUUUGCAGAAGAGAGCGGAAGGGAUUACAGUCAAAUGUGAUGUGUUUCAAAUAUAAUUUAAUAUUUGCUUAAUAGUUGAAUUUGGCAUUAUAAUUUUUUUUUUAAAUAUCUUCACAAUUACGUAACUGGGUCUCUAUGUUUAUUUCGUUUAUAUUUUAUAAUUUUUACCAAAGAAAACUAACUUUAUAUUUAUUUUUACCCAAGUGGCUUUUAUGGGCCUUGAAUAUAUAAUUCACAUAAUAAAAUUGUUUUUUAAUUUUUAUAUAAAAGUUAAUUUAAAACGGUUGAAGCCAAAAUACGGAAAGCGCCGAAUGAUCAGUGGCCGCGGAAAUUUUUAAAACAAACCUUAACAUAUAAACUAUUUUUCACCUCCCUAUAUAUCAAAAUAUAAGAACCUUUCUUCCUUUCUACUAUCUAUCAAAAAAAUAUUUGUUUGCACUCCCGUACAAGAGUUGCUAUUGAGGGAAACUAAAAAACUGAAAAUAUUUUUUCCUACAUUAAUUGAAAUUUACACACUUUCACUUAUCGAGGAUAAUAUCUAUCAAGUGGAUAAUUUUUGUUUCCAGCAGAAAUAUUUGCUUAGACUCCCGUACGACGGUUAGGAUUUAGAUUUUAUUGUAUGUGGCCAAUGUCUGGGCCUUCCUAUUCCUUCCUGCAUCAAAUUUAUCCCUCGUACAAAGGGAGGGGUAUACUUUGUGAACCUCAGGUUUGGAGAUUUCGGUCCCUAAUUUUAAGGACCUGUUUCUUCCUACUGCCUUUUCUUCGGAGUCGUAAUUUUCGUUUCCAGCAUAAAUAUUCGCUUCCACUUCUGUACGAGAGUAGAGUUGUAAACGUAGUAAAACUAAAAAAUUGAAAAAAAAAUUAAUUUGUUUAUUUUUACGCAUUUUCAAAUCUUGGUAAAACUAGAUCAAGAAAGUUAUACUGUGCCAUCAGGCAACCGAUGCUACCAGGGAAAUUCCAUGGUUCGCGCGGGACUCUGUUCUAUGGUAGCCGUGGUAGUAGAAGGUCACGGAAAUAAAGGUGUUAAAAAAACGUAUAUUCAGCGUAUGUUAUUUUAAAAUGUUAUAGACAAUAACAUGACAUAUACCAAAAUUGUCUUGAAACAAUUUAGUAUGGAAAAGAUCAAACCAGUUACAAUACCUACGAAGAAAAACAGGUAGGUCAUAACAAAAGAAACUGUGAUGCUGUGGAAAGCAUGAUCUAUUUACCAAACAAAACAUACCAUAUAAUCAGGCCAUACUAAAUUUAAAUAGAAUUGUAAAAUAUUUAGCAAAAACCAAAACAAAAUAUCCAUUUUAUAAAGGAAAAAGUUAGGAAAGGAUUGUAGGAAAGUAGAGAAUUUAAUUUCGGAAAACAGUACAGCAGAUGUUUAUACUAACUUUAAACUCUAACUUUAAACAGUAAAAAUUUUUAAACAUCGGAAUAUGUUGGUAAAGUAAUUUAAGGUAAUAAUUUCAAAAAUUGUAAUUUUUAAUAAUUAUUCGAACACGGUGAUGGGUAGUAAUGAACUUAUAGAAGUUUUUAGCCUCUGUAGUUAAUUAUUUUAAGUUCAACAAAAAUGUAAGUAAAUUUGUAAAAACCCAUCACAUACGAUAAACAAAAAUAAAAUUCUUAAAGUUAAUAUAAAAAUUAUUAUACUUAUAGAAAGAAAAGCAGCCUAAUCUUAUUAAAGAUGGCAAAAUUAACUUCAUAUUCCACAUAUUUCUGACGCGACACAAAAGUGUGAAACAUGCAAUUUUUUGAUAAAAUUGUUUUUUUAGACACCGUCGGCGUUGCAAAAAUUACAAGUGCCUGGUCUUACUGAGGAGAGCAAGGUACUCGCGGGAGGCGAGCCUGACCGACGAUGUUACGCGGAGCGAGACUAUUAUGUCACCGUGGCCGCGCAUAAUCUAUAUAAAUAUCUCUCUCGCUGUUUGUUUUUGUUCGCAGCGAGACAAUUGGGUCGUCCAGGUCGCAUAUAAUUAAAUUAUUAAAGAUAACCCGCAAACGUCAAUAAUUUUUUAAGAUAGAAACUAUAGUUUAUUUACGGCACGUCGCAAAUACGCCGCUUACGCGAGCAAUAUGCGAGGAAGUAUUGUCUGCAGGCACAUCCGUUAAACUGAUAAGAGGAAAGCUCGCCUUUAUUGGUAUCUGCUCAUAUAUUCAGAGGGGCGGAAAAAAUAAGCAAUAGGCAUAGUACAUUUUAUUGACUAAGACGUACAUAGCUGAAAAAAUCUAAAGCAUUGAAGAAAUCUAAUGAGGUAAGGUCUCGGGCGCUUGGCUUCGUCAGCAGCAAUAGGGACGGCGGCGGGUCUUUUCGGGUCUUUGGUAUUGGUCUUAAAGGGUGGCACCCCUGCGUCCUAGCACUUAGGAAACCACAUGGGUCCGUUGUGCCCUCAGACCGCGCUAGAAGGCGUCCAGAAUACCGAUCCUUCUAUAGGUCAACAACUCCUUUAGCCCAAUACCGUGCACUGAGUCCGGAUCGAUCAGAAGACUCCAAAUCCUGCCCAUGCCAAAACAGGUCCCUCGGUGAGCGGAUGAUACGGGGUCUCCUCCAUUGGACACCUCAUAUUUCUCGCGUUGAUGACGUCGUAUAUCCCACCGCAUACGUCACAAUGCCCGUGCCUCGCGAGCUGGUCUUUUCGGCUGAACUAGCGGUUGCAAUAUUCGCAGGCGAACAUUAUUUUUUUGCCUCUCACUCCCGAACUGUUCUAGUAUCACUUAACACUUACUAUUUUUAUGCGGUGAAAACAAAAAAAUCCAAAGAAUGAAGACUGACUGUGGCGGUGGUCACAUGUUAAUAACGUUAUUUCCUUCUCCGAUAACGAAGUUAAAAUAAUGCAAACUUUCGAGUACGUUCCUUCCUUCCGGUUAAUUAAGAUUUUCUCCGGAAAUGCUUAUCAUUACUGGGUCAUAUCUGUUUCGGAUCUGUCGAAACCUUUUAGACGUUUUGAACAUGUUCGAGAGCUGUUCCGCAGUUAUUUUUAGACAUAAUUUAGAUCUGACCAAAAGCGUCCUCUCAAAUAUUUGAAAUAAAAU